rnacentral:rRNA from 1 species
CCACGCCUACGGGGGGCAGCAGUGAGGAAUAUUGGUCAAUGGGCGGAAGCCUGAACCAGCCAAGUCGCGUGAGGGAAUGAGGCCCUACGGGUCGUAAACCUCUUUUGCCGGGGAGCAAGGGCCGGGACGAGUCCCGGUCCGGAGAGUACCCGGAGAAAAAGCAUCGGCUAACUCCGUGCCAGCAGCCGCGGUAAUACGGAGGAUGCGAGCGUUAUCCGGAUUUAUUGGGUUUAAAGGGUGCGUAGGCGGGCUUUUAAGUCAGCGGUAAAAAUUCGGGGCUCAACCCCGUCCGGCCGUUGCAACUG